GGUGAAAUGGCUGAGGAUAGGCAGUAAAUUGUAAAUUUACCUACGAAAUAAAAAUUUCUUUUACCA
rnacentral:tRNA from 1 species